rnacentral:rRNA from 1 species
AGCUCCAGUAGCGUAUAUUAAAGUUGUUGCGGUUAAAAGCUCGUAGUUGGAUUUCUGCUUGGAAGACCUGGUCUCCUUCUUAAGGAACAAUCAGUGUCGUCUAGGCAUCCUCUGGAAAACGGUAUUGGUGCUUGAUUGCACUGUGCCGAGUUCCGGACAUUUACUUUGAGGAAAUUAGAGUGUUCAUAGCAUGCAAUUGCAUUGAAUAUAUUAGCAUGGGAUAAUAAUAUAAGACUGAGUUUUUAUUUUGUUGGUUUCUAAGAAUUCAGUAAUGAUAAAUAGGAAUUGUCGGGGGUACUUGUAUUAACUCGUCAGAGGUGGAAUUCUUGGAUUGAGUUACGACAAACUACUGCGAAAGCAUUUACCAAGGAUGUUUUCA